GCACAGGUUCUCCAUUUAAAUUUAUCUAUAUAUAAAUGUUUAUUAAUUCAUGAUUUAACCAACAUUGCGUAAGUGAAUAUAUAUCUAAUUAAUUUAACCAAAACUUUGGUCCGCUAUUAAAUAUGCACACGCCACUUUUUAAGUGGUGCAUAGCAGCCCACAUUUCAGCCCAUUUUACUUGUCAUAUUUCAUCAAAAGCCCAUUUAUUAAAUACAUGAACCCUGAAAUCUUAGGGUUACAAUAGUCGCAUUUGUAGAUCUUUAUGUUCUAGAAUUUUCUGCUCGUUCAUCUCCAAGCUCUUAUUCCUCACUCUCCACUGCAAAUACUCACAUUUAUUGUAAAAUUCUUACACCCUUCACUCUUAAACCAUUUUUUCUCUACACAUUCUAUUUAUUUGUGGCAUUAUUUUGGCAGAUUUAUGAAUAUUUGCACAAAAGUGUCUUCAAACAAAAAUAUCUUCAUUUUUUCGCAGAUUAAUUUUCAUUUUUUUGUGUUUAUGGCAUCAUUUUUGGUAGAUCUAUAAAUAUCUACACUAAGUGUUGCUUAAAACAAAAGAUCUUUAUUGUUCUUGGCAAAUUAGGUUUUCGUUUUUUUUUAUGUUUAUCGUAUUAUUUUGUUAGAUCUAUGAAUAUCUACACAAAUGGAUAUUUAAAAGAACUUGUUUUUUGUAUACUGUUUAUAUACUGAGUAAGAUCUUUAUUUCUUUUUGCAUAUUAGUUUUUCGUUCUAUUUUUUUUUUUUUUGUUCAUAGUAUCAUUUUAGUAGAUCUAUGAAUAUCUACUCAAAUAGGUUCUUUAAUGAACAAUUUUUUUUUUUUUUAUAUUUUUUAUUGAGGAAGGUCUUUAUUUCUUUUCGCAUAUUAGUUUUUCUAAUUUUAGUUUUUCAUUUUUUUGUGUUUGUAGUAUCAUUUUAGUAGAUCUAUGGAUAUCUACACAAAUGGGUUCUUAAAAGAACAAAAAAAAAUUGUUUGUAGAUUAUUAUUUUUUUAUACUGAGGAAAAUCGUUAUUUCUUUUCGCAUAAUAGUUUUUCGUUUUUUAGUUUUUCAUUUUUUUUUUGUGUUUAUAGUUUAUCAUUUUAGUAGAUCUACGAAUAUCUACACAACUGGAUUCUUAAAAAAACAUUUUUUUUUUGCAGAUUAGUUAUGGUUUAUUCUGAAGAUUUUUUUUUUGGUGUUUAUCUAACCAAAUUGGUACAUAAAAGAACGUUUUUUUGUAGGUGUUGCUGUCGGCACUGGAUGAACAUGGACGAAGCGGUGUAUUAUGUGGUGUAUCUGGCAAGCACUCAGAGCUUUUGUUCUUGAUAAAAAGGUAUCAUCACUAUCUAACAAUUUAGAUUGGACUUCUUCUGAUUUAUAAAAAGUCUAUACGAAAUAAAUAAAUAGCGUGGGAUUGAAAUAAUGAUUUGAAAUCAUUGUGUAUUUUGAAAUACUCUAUCUUUCUCUUAAAUAGCCAAUCUUUCUCUAAAACACACCAUUGGUUUCAUGUGUAUAUAAACUUUUAAUGGCCACAUCCUUAGGAUUGGUCAUGAAAAUGAUUUGAAGAUUGGAAAAAAUAGAAAGUAUAUUAGAUGAUAGUGUAACACUAAAGCUUUGAAAACCAUAUAAGUAUUGAUUUAUUUUUGUUUUCUCAUAUGUGAGCCUUUGUUUUCUUUAGAUUUUUCUGUUUUCUUCAUAAUUUUUUUGUUGCAUUUGUCAGAAAAAAAAGAGUGAAAAAAGUUUAUGUGUAUCUUUAAAAGAUGUUAAGAAGAUUUACUGUUGGUUGAGGAUUAUUAGGAUCCAGUUCUAAUAAGUUCCAAUCAAUGGUUAUUUUUUCAUUUUUGCAAUAAAUUUAAUAACUGCCAUUGUUCUAAUCACGUGUAUGUGUAUUUUUAAUAGCUGCCACUGUUUUGGCAGCUAGAUUGCUUGAUGUCUUUAAAAUCUCCGUAUUUUUGCUUGAUGUCUUUUGAAAUUGAUAAACUUGAGAAAAAGAACAAAAAAAACUCAUUCCUUUUUUCUAUUGUUCAUCAAAAAACAACUUUUUUGCAGCUAUGGUUGGCAACAGUUUAGCUAAUAUAUAAAAAAUUACACUGACACCGUUUUCUUUUGUGACUUCUGCAGAUCCUAGAGACGAUACUUACAUGCUCCAUUGACAGCAAGUCUUCAUCUGUGGAGAAAAUUCAUAAAUAUAAGCUAUGUAUAAAAUUGAAAUAAGUAUUGUAAUACUUGCUUAGUAUCUGAGUUCUAAUUAAAAUUAAUAGUAAAUAGGCACAUUAUAAACAAAUAAAAAUAAAAGUACCAAAUAAAAAUAUAAAAACUCUAAAAUUAAAAGAACAUCAAAACGAAUUAGAACAAUCUACUAAGAACAAUCAAGCAUAGAGAGAGAAAGUUUGCAAACCUUUUUUGAACGAAAAAAUGAACAGAUGUUGCUUGUAUUUAUAGGCAAAUUUUAGGAUGAAUUUUGGCUCCAUGCUUGGGGGCCAAGUUUAAUAAAUGCUGCCUAAAUUGUUUGGGGCCCAAGUUUUAAAAAAUGUCUGCUGAAUUUUGCAAGAUUACAUAGUAGGUAAAACAAAAAAGCAAAACAUGUUGGUUAAUAAGAUGAUUCAAUUUCCCGCCAAAAUGGCUCCAAAUGGCUCAGAUUGAGCUUUUAUAUAUAUAUAUAUAUGUUAGAAAAGAAAUUAGGCAUUUAAAGACAUAAAUUUUUGUUAUCCCUCAUUUUCCCAUGAUUAAUUUAUCCGUCAAAAUAAACACAUCAUUAGCGUUUAUUUUCGAAGCUUUUGCUCACACCAAGAAACAUGUAACUCUCGAGUCUUAUCAUUGUCGAUGGGAAGCCAGACUUAUGGCUCAUAGUCUUGCAAAUUUUACUAUUUUAUCUUAAAUUGUAGUAAUGCUUUAGAAGUCGGAGUUCUCAUCUUGAUUCUAAAUAUUGUUCAUGUUAACUUGAAGUAACAUAGUCAUUUUUUUAUUUGCUCAUGAAAAUCAAAAAUGAAAAAAAGCUAAAAGAAAAAAAAGAAAGAAAAUAAAAAUAAAUUAAAAAAAAAACUUGUUCAAAAAAAGGGG
rnacentral:lncRNA from 1 species